rnacentral:rRNA from 1 species
CACGUAGGGCGCAAGCGUUGUCCGGAAUUAUUGGGCGUAAAGAGCUCGUAGGCGGUCCGUCACGUCCGCUGUGAAAACCCAGGGCUCAACCCUGGGCUUGCAGUGGAUACGGGCAGACUAGAGGUAGGUAGGGGAGAAUGGAAUUCCCGGUGUAGCGGUGAAAUGCGCAGAUAUCGGGAGGAACACCGGUGGCGAAGGCGGCUCUCUGGGACGGUACUGACGCUGAGACGCGAAAGCGUGGGGAGCGAACAGG